GACGUAGGAUGCGAGCGUUGUCCGGAUUCAUUGGGCGUAAAGAGUUCGUAGGCGGUUUGUUAAGUCUGAUGUUAAAGAUCGGGGCUCAACCCUGGGAGUGCAUUGGAUACUGGCAGUCUGGAGUGCAGUAGAGGCGAGUGGAAUUCCCAGUGUAGCGGUGAAAUGCGUAGAGAUCGGGAGGAACAUCAGUUGCGAAGGCGGCCACCUGGACCAGCACUGACACUGAGGCACGAAAGCGUGGGGAGCAAACAGG
rnacentral:rRNA from 1 species